rnacentral:rRNA from 1 species
ACGCUGGCGGCGUGCCUAAUACAUGCAAGUCGAACGGUCUUUUCUAUGGAAGCUUGCUUCCACUGAGAAGAUAGUGGCGGACGGGUGAGUAACACGUGGGUAACCUGCCCAUAAGAGGGGGAUAACAUCCGGAAACGGGUGCUAAUACCGCAUAGUUUUUCUUGAUCGCAUGAUUGAGAAAGGAAAGACGGCCUUUGUGCUGUCGCUUAUGGAUGGACCCGCGGCGUAUUAGUUAGUUGGUGAGGUAAUGGCUCACCAAGACGAUGAUACGUAGCCGACCUGAGAGGGUGAUCGGCCACAUUGGGACUGAGACACGGCCCAAACUCCUACGGAGGCAGCAGUAGGAAUCUUCCGCAAUGGACGAAAGUCUGACGGAGCAACGCCGCGUGAGUGAAGAAGGUUUUUCCGGAUCGUAAAACUCUGUUGUCAGAGAAGAACAAGUUGGAGAGUAACUGCUCCAGCCUUGACGGUAUCUGACCAGAAAGCCACGGCUAACUACGUGCCAGCCGCAGC